UGACUCAAGGGAAGGAAGCCAACAUUUGUGA
rnacentral:piRNA from 1 species